CAAACGCGAAUUCAGAAUAAGAUCUACUUUGCUCUCUUUUUGAUUUCUUAUACUUUAUCGUUGUUAUUCUCGUGUUAUGAUUGCUUGGCGUGUGGUAUUAGCAGAUAUCCGGGACCUCUGGGAAAUUAGGGUUUUCCUAGUUUCCUUAUUUAAACGGAAAUCGACAGUGCAAAUUUUGGUUCCCACAGUGACGAUGGCGGUGGAUGAGCAAGACAAUCCUUCAGAAUUUACCCCAAGAGAAGCCGAGCUUCAACGACAGAUCGACGUACUGCAGAGCCAAUUAACCGACUUGCACAAGGCUCAGGAAACAACCGAAAAUCCAGAGCUUUCCUCCAAGGUUCAGAGCCUGAAGGAAAACCUUCGUGAACACUCCAAACAGCUGGAGUUAAACGCCGAGAAACUCAACCAACUACAGACGGAGAACGCUGCACUCCGAGACCAGAACAAAGCUCCCAACACGGCAAACAACAAGAAGCGUUGCUUCAACACUCGGGUUCGACCUAUGGGAAGCCUGAGCACUCCCAACACCGAAGAAGGCACCACUAACGCAACUCCUGCAUCCAGAGCAGCCAGGGCAACACGAGAAGGGAUCAAGGAUCACCAGAUCCAUAACCUAGAGGAAAGUGAUUCCGAACCUGAACCCGAGAAAGAAGAACCCGAGAAGAUGGCAGCCGAGUCUUCCAUAACCACCUAUCUGGAGCAGAUGUUUUCCAAGAGGUUCGACGCCAUGCAAUCCAUGGUGGAGCGUCUACCAGGAGUAGCUCACCCAAUCCAGAGGAGCAACCCCCGACUCGUACACAGAUACUCCCUUCGCGGAGGAGAUCGCUUCAGUCGAGAUGUGUAAAGGGUUUGGCUCCACUCUAAUUGGACCCGCCUUGCAAUGGUAUAUCAAUCUCCCUACCAGGUCCAUCUCUUCUUUUGCCGGCCUGAGCGAGAAGUUCGUAGAACAAUUCGCGAGUAGCAGGAGCCUGGAGAAGACUUCAGACGGUCUCUACGAGAUCCUCCAGCAUCAAGUAGAACCCCUGCGGGACUACAUAGCCCGUUUCAAUCAAGAGAAGGUAGCGGUCCCUGAAUGCAGCAUCCCUACCGCAAUCUCUGCCUUCAAGAGAGGCCUGCUUCUAGACGGAGGGCUCUACAAAGAGCUAACCAUGUACCCUUGCAAAACCAUGGAGGAUGUGCUAUUCCGAGUGUGGGCACAGGUGAAGUGGGACGAGGACGUCGCUAGCCACGCCAAGGCUCAACCCAAACAGGAUCAGAGGUCCACCCGAUCAGACCAGGGAGACCGAGAAGAAAGAUCCUCCCAAAAGGGAUCCAAGGACUCCGAAAGCAGGAACCAAGGCAGGUUCCAAUACCGGCCAUUAGAAAAAGAAGAGGGGAUGUAUGUGUCUACCUGGCCCGAUAUCUCCCAUCUCUCAAUAUCCAUACCAGAGCUGGUCAACACGCUGAGGCAGAUGGGCCAACAGGUAAAGUUGCCCCCAAAGAUGAUAGCACCUGACUCAUUCCGGAACCUGGGAUUCUAGUGCGACUUCCAUCGCGAUCAUGGCCACAAAACUGAAGACUGCGUCGCCCUGAAGAUCGAGGUCAACGAACUGCUCCAAAAGAGGCAUCUCCGAGAAUUCCUUUCAGAGAAAGCCAAGGCUCAUCUUAGCAAAGAAGCAUCAGGAAAAUCCAAAGGAGACGCGCCAAGCUCACCACCUCUCCAGGACCGGGUGAUUCAUGUCAUCUCAGGAGGCUCUGAAGUAAGUGGCGUGAGUCAUGCAGCUGCGAAGAAGAACACCCGUAAUGCUAAACACGGCCUGGAGACUUGUGGGAACCGAAAUUCACAUUGUCGAUUUCCGUUUAAAUAAGGAAAAUAGGAGCACCCUAAUUUCCCAGAGGUCCCGGAUAUCUGCUAAUACCACAUGCUAAGCAAUCAGAACAUGGGAUAACAACGAUAAAGUAUAAAAACCGAAAAAGUAGAACAAAGUAGAUCUUAUUCCGAAUCUGCGUUUGAGCGUUACAAGAAGGUAAGAGCCUGGGCUUCGAGAGAUUUCAGCGAGAUUCCUAGUUCUAAAAUUCUAAGACGACAACAACCUAAUUGAGUCGCAGCUCGAAUAACAAAAAACGGAAAAUUGCCUAAACUACUAUAAGUGCUAAUUUGCUGUGAAAAAGUUAUCUUCCUGCCUCUCGCCUAGGACUCCUUAUAUACUCACUCCUAGGUCGGUUUACGCUUUUCCUCUUCUGCCCUUAAGCCGUCAUAGCUUAAAAAUGGAGAUAUUUUAUUUUUCCCGAUCUUUGUAAUUAUCUUCCAAAACUUCAUAUUUAUCCGCGGAAACUUGACAUUUAUCUUUCCUUGCGAACCAAGCAUAAAUCAUCAUACGGCUUAUGGGCUGUUGGUUAAGAAAUCAUAAGUGGGCUUCAAGUCACGUCUUAGGUCUCUUUGGGCCGUCUUUUGACUCGAAACGUUUAUUACGGUUUCUUCGAUAAAAACUAACUUUCUGUGCUUUUUAUCAUAAAGUUUGAUCGAUGACUUCGAGUGACGAGAAACAUGAAAUGGUUCAGCUACGGUCUUCGGGAGAUAGAAUUAAAGAGUAGACGAGAAUGCAUGGAUUCGCGUCGUAUCGAUGUUUUGAGAAAGCUCGAUUUCUUCGUAACGAUCGAAACGUUCAUGUGCUCGGUCACUACGUACUGACCAAGCUAGGUUCCAAGCUCGGUCGCUACGUACGCGUGUUCGGUCGCUACGUACGCAUGCUCGGUCGCUACGUAGCGACCGAGCUUGGCUUGGGCUCGGUCGCUACGUAGCGACAGAGCUUUGGCUCGAGCUCAGUCGCUACGUAGCGACCGAGCUGUGUGCAUGCUUGGUCGCCGCGUAUCGAUCGAGCUUGGCUUGUCUGCGGUCCGAUUGCCAUACUCGAGCUUGGUCGCAGCCGAUUUGGAUACAUGUCUGUUGCCUUCGGACAAUCAGUAUUUAGGGUUCGAUUAUGAUUGAACAAAAUUUUACCGCAAGGCUCUUCGUAAAGAUUUCUUUACGAAGAUUACUUUUCGUAAAACGUUCAUGCUGAUUUUUACGGACUUUCAGACAUUGAUUCCGUCGUGACCGAUUUUGACCCCAACAGUUAGCCCCCCAGCUCGUUAUAACCAUGAGCUUAUAGCGUGAGGUUCUAGCGAGUGGCUUGGCAAGUUAGGCGAAUUAAUGGUUGAAAAGGUCCGUGGUAAGUGGUCUUCUCGCUCUUCUAAAUGUAGAACGCGGUAAGAUUGGGGCUGCGCCUUAUGACGUCUGCCUACGUACCCUUGUUGAAGGGAUCAAGCCUUUCGUAGUUUGUCUUGGAGUUUAGGUUUUUAUGACAAGUUUUCAAGCGAGACCUUUUGCGGUCUAGUUUAUAUGUAGAAGUUAUCAGGCGUGUUGCUGCCAAUGGCAUUUUAUAUGGGCGUAGAGGGAAGACUACGAGUUGUCAUCUCGUUAAUCUAACUCUGUGUGAACUACUAUAUAUGUGAUCUGUUUCAAGAGUUUUCCGCAAUGUGUAACCUUGCGGGAUUUCUGAAGUUGCUCGAAUAUUGGCCAAGAGACAAAUUUUGGGAUUUCGUAUCAGGGUGUUUGAUACUAUGCCUAGAGAUGUUAUAGACCAGUGCACUGGGUUUUGGGCAAGACCUAGGUCUAAUCACAGUUUUAGGGGGUGCGAUGACUACUUCGACUUACGUUUCCCGUAUCGUUUUCGACCUGAUUCCAUCCUGCUUUAAAGUCCGUGAUAUGUUCUCGGCUUACGUGACUUGAAUGGUAGGAAUCGAGCAUCUCUUCGAGGACAAUUUUUAAGUCUCCCGAAAGUGCUGACCAAAAUUUCGGAUUAUUUUUUAUGUAGCGCUAUAUACCCUUGUGUCGGGUGUACGAGAGCUAUCUCUAAGAGAUGGCUAAGUCUGUUUAGGAUGUUAAGAGUUUGUUGUGAUCAGAAACAAACGUAUCGGUAGAUAUUACCCUUUUUGAGUCUUCACGAAGAAUAUGUUUUGAGAAUAUGUUAGUGCGUAUGACUGUCUGGUCUUCCAAGAAGGUGUUUUUAUAGAGGAAGGAAAUUUCGUCGAAGAAUGAAUCUUCAGGCGUCUGCGACGUCUUGCGAUGCUGAAGAUUUGUUAUUCUUUCGUAUGCCGCAUUUCGUGCUUGAAAUGUUCGUGGGCUUGAAGAUGUUUCGCGAUGUUGCAAGGGUUUAGUCUUAGCCUUGCGUUUGAGAAACAUUCUGGUUUGACUACGGAUGUUUGCAGCCAAAGUUGUUGAUCAUGUUUGGAUGCUAAUAAAUUGAUUUGCGAUCGAGGAAUUAGGACUGAGGUGUCGCGUAAAUUUGUCCAUGGGAAGAAGUGUUUUCCUUCAUAAUGCUUUUUGAAGUGUUGACCUUCUGAGGUAUAUUUCGUGCAUUUUUUAGGAUGUUUCAUAUAGCUCUAGAAGCUUUUUACGAAUUUUUUCCUUAUAUGCCGCGUAUUAUGGGAAAAACUUUGCGGGCUUAGACUGAAUUGUAGAGCGUAUUGAACUUGGCCAAUUUUUGAAAAGUUUAGAUUUUCCGUUAACCGUUUGGUUGUUAGGACAGAGUUUCGUUACGAAGCAUUUAUCAUAUGAUUUCCGACUGUGGGCUAUACGAUAAUUGUUCUCUUAAUAUAAUGGGGACCGGUUUUACGAAGGUUGUAAAUUGGUGAUACGUAUACAUAUGUCAUAGUAGCGUUGUUUCUGCGGGUUUUACAAGAAACAUUUCUGCUGUGAUUUCGAUCUUAGGUCAAAGUUGCUUGGAGUUACUCAUGGAGUGUUACCGAAGCUUAUUUCAUUACGAUUUAGUCGCAGAACGUUUUUCAUAGGUUUUUUGAGCGGAUUCUCAUGACACAUUCGUUUCUGGAAUGAAUUGGUCAACCAGAGGUGGAUCUAGCUAACCAUCGGGAGGAAAGUGUUUCUUUUAAUGUGCACGAUGCUACAUCUAUUCUCGAGUUUUCUUCGUCGCAAAUGUUUUUGAUGCUUUUCCGUGACUCACUUGGUACAACGGAAACUGAAAGAAAUGCUUUGGUGAAUGAAGAUUUCUCGUAGAAAAAUUUUAAACAAAAAUGGCUUUCUAAGCCAGAAAAGGGUUCAAUACUUUGGCUAAUCGUCGAGUUUCAGUUUGAUAUUGAUACAGGUUUUCUGUACACAUGAUUGCGACAAGAAAUGAUGUAUAGUCUUUGAGAUUAUGUUUGUGAUCGUCUGGAAAUGUUGCUAGCGUUUAGACAAAAUUUAGAUUGUCGUUUGCCUAUUUGGGACGAUUUGCUUUGACAAAAUCGUUUUCUUGACGAUUUGCAAAAGUUAUUUGAAGUUUGGGAGUAUACGUGUAUAGUAUACGUACCUACUCCCCUUUUUGUUUUUUUUUACAGAAGAAAACAGUUGAACCGAUACUUUGAAGGGUUGUGUAUGUUUCUUCUUCUGAGGUUUGGAAUGAUCGAUAAUCCGAGACGAUUUAAAGACGACGCUUGGACUGUGAUUUGGUUGUUUCCAUGUUGACGACUUGGAAUAUGUCGGUUCCGAGAAAAUUGCCAGAAACGAAUCGGUUUUAAGACGACGUUGAUGUCUCUAGUUUUUCUCUCCUUAGGGAGCGAGCUUGUUAUGCAUGGCGAUCGUUUCUUUAUUUUCGGAGAGUUUAGAUCGGUUUGUAAGAUCUGGAUGAACAGUUAUGGAACGAUAUAUCGAGACAGGAAAAAUCACCUAAGACUUAGUUCGCUAGACUAUCCACCUAGGUUUUACGUUCCCUAAAGUUCUAUGGCAGUCUCAAAGGCGUUUUUAUUUCAUAGUAAUUUCCUACGAAAAUUCCAAGUCUGAUUUCUAAAAUUUCAAGUCGGAAAUACCUUAGUUCUCUCGAAGAUGCAGUUUUGUCUCUUCUCAGUUUUGCUUGCUCAUUUCCCCUUCCUCUUCUCGUGUAUGUUCGCCAUUUUUUGAUAUUGGUGUUUAUCCUUUGAAACUUGACAUUUAUCUUCCGAACUUCACUGUUAUCUUCUCCUUAGAUACGAUGUCAAUUUUAAUAAAAAGGUUCAACGUAAUCGUAUAGUUGAGGCGGCUAAGGUGUUAAGUUAACCGUUGCUGUUUUAUACGAUUAAUCUGAAUCCAUGCGAGAAAACAAGUCUUUGCGGUUUUUUUUAUCGUAAAUUUUCAAUGGUAACUCUAAUCGAGAUGAAACAAGGGACGUUUCGAUCGAGAUAUGAAGGAGAACACAAAGAUGGAGGUAAGGGAGAGUAGGAGCAAGCGAAGGAGUUUAGACGAGUCUUACUUGUUUUCGUCGUAAAAUCUCAAUGGAAACUCCGAUUGAGACUAAACGAAAAGCUGCGUUUCGAUCGGGACUUAAAAGAGAACACAAAAGAGGAGCUUUUUAAGGCCUGGCAGGUCGCUACGUAGCGAGCAGGAGGUCUGACAGGUUGCUAUGUAGCGUAUAGAAGUAAGCCAAGAAGAGUCCUACUUGUUUUCGUCGUAAAAUGUCAACGGAAACUCCGAUUGAGACGAAACGAAAAGCGUUUCGAUGAGGAUUCAAAAGAGAAUGCAAAGGAGGACCUUUCUGAGGCCUGACAGGUCGCUAUGUAGCGAGUGAAGGUCUGACAGGUCGCUACGUAGCGAGUAAAAGCAAACCAAGAAGAGUCCUACUUGUUUUCGUCAUAAAAUCUCAACCGAAACUCCGAUUGACACGAAACAAAAAGCAUUUCGAUGAUGAUUCAAAGGAGAACGCAAAGAAGGACAUUUCUGAGGCCUGACAGGUCGCUAUGUAGCGACUGGAGGUCUGACAGGUCGUUACGUAGCGAGUAGAAGCAAGCCAAAAGAGUCCUACUUGUUUUAGUCGUAAAAUCUUAACGGAAACUCCGAUUGAGACGAAAC